GAGGAAGUGCUACUUGGAUAGGU
rnacentral:siRNA from 1 species